GUGCUUGUAGGAGGAACAGCCGAUGAAUUUCGACAUUUUAUCUACCAAAUGGAAAACAUCCACGAUGAUGGAUCCAAAUGUCCAGCUUGUUAUGAGGAUUCUCCCUCCCUGAUAAGCUUGCUAGAGCAGAGGAUAUAGAAAAAAAAAGCAAGGAGGCUCUUCAAGAAAUUUUGGAACCUUUUGCAGGAGUAACAACUGAAUGUCUACAGGAAUGGAUAGAUUAUGAGCGGGUUGUGUGUAUCCGCAGCAAAUCAACUGAAAAUCACUCCUUGUCACCUGCUGAAGAGUAUUGUCUAGUCCUGGAGGAGCUAACAAAAUACAGGGGUGUGUUUGCGACGGAUGUAAACAAAGAUAAGAAAAGGCUAGAGACAAAACUGAAAAAGAAAGGGAAGAAGGCUGGUGUCAAAUGGGACUCAACAAAUGUUGAUUACCUGCGGACACUCAAGACUGCACAAGAGAAACUAAGACUUCAGAUACUGGAGACCCUUCAACAGACCACUGCAGAGAGGCUGUUUUUGUUAGAUUUAAUGAAAAAGUAUGCAAGAGGACAAGCUGUAGCCAUAAGAUUGGGCAAGCAACAAAAAGAUAAGAGAACAGCUGUCGUUGUACAAUGCGGUUGGCGGGGAAGUCGUUAAAAUGCCGACACAUUUGUCAUUUGAAGAUGUAAAGUCGUGCGACAGCAAGCUGUGGGACAUUUUGAAGUCAUCAGAUGUAGGUGCUUGGAGGACCAGUGUGCCUGUGUCUGUAAAACAGCAAGCUGUUCGCCUGUUUUGCAUGACACAGAGAGCUGCAGAAGAAAAGGAACUUUUGAUUUCAGAAAUGAAGUCAACAUUACAUUUCUUUUCCAAUGAACAUUCAGGUCUUUUAAACAAGGUCCUGGAUAAUGUUAAAGGAGACAUGCCAGUCAUCAUCAAAGAAGGGCUUUAUGUGGAAAUGAAAUUUAAUUCAUUACUGAAGGCAUUCCAGUCAUAUCUCCCAGACUUAACACUGACUUUGCUUUCUGAUUUUGCACAAAAGGUUGGUCUAACCAGCGUUCAAGAGGCUCGUAUUUCUGAAAUAAAUUAUGGAAACUUACCAGAAUACGAGUUAGAACCCUCUGAACCAACUGAUGUAAUACUCAGUGAUGAGGAUUUUACAGACAGUGAUAGUGACAAUGACUCUGAUGGUGACAAUUAAAUGUUUAAAAGACAUCAUUGACUCAAAAGCAAUAUUGUCUUAAUUGUCUCAAUUGAAUUGUUCGCAAUAAGUGUUCUAAGAUAAGACAAACAACUGUGCUAUGGCUUUUUAAAUGCUCUUGUUUGUAGCUCAACUGGUAGCUCAACUGAGCACAAUGUGAGCUUUUGUGAUUGCCUUUUGUCCGUCGUUGGUUGUAUAACACAAAAGCUCACAUUGUGCUCAGUUGAGCAAAAUCAGAAAGCAAAGUCAGGGUUUACUCUGGGAGAUCUGGGAGAUAUGACUGGAAUGCCUUCAGUAGUGAAUUACUUGAAUCACUUUCCAGCCAUAUCAGUAAAAAGGUGAUUGGCAUUUAUUUCGUAUUUAAAUUCGCUUUAUAUAUCGACUUUUCUCCCCGCAAAUUUUGUUAGUGGAGCCCAAAUUAGGUCAUCCCGCUAGGAAAUUUCGCAGCGAGUAAAGUCGAGAUAUAUAUAGAGCGAAUAUAACUAUGAAAUAAACGCCAGUAUCUUUCUUGCUAAUAUGGCUGGAAAGUGAGCGGAAUUUAAAAACUUAUGCUUUGUAAGCACACUUAUCGGCCACAUUUAUUGUCUGAUCUUUUUCAUCUUGUUAACUCAAUAUUUAUUGUCCACUACCGGUGAAACAGGGGGGGGGACUUAUUGUUUGCGCUCCGUGUGUCAGUCUGUCUGCGUGUGUCAGUCUGUCUGUCAGUCCGUCACACUUUUCUGGAUCCUGCGAUAACUUCAAAGUUCUUCAUAUUUUUUUAUGAAACUUGAAACGUGGACAGAUGGCUUAUAUGGAGAUUAUGCACGUCAAUUCAUUUUGUUCCUAUGUCAAAAAUUGUGGUUGCUAUGGCAACAAAUGUAAAAAAAAAAUAAAAAAAAAUUACUGACUGGUGGAGUUUUACCGGUAGGGGACCAUAUUGCUUGGCAAUCUCUUGUUCCAUAUAUACUGAAGUUGUUAUCCCCCGCCAUAGGCAGAGGGAUAUUGUUUUGGCAUUUUCCGUCCGUCCGUCCGGAGCCAUAUCUUGGAAGUGCUUUGGCGGAUUUCAUUGAAACUUGGUAUGUGUAUAAAUAUGGAUAAGAGGAUGAUGCACGCCAAAUGGCAUUGUACACAAUCUGUUAAUAACGGAGUUAUGGCCCUUUGUAUCUUGAAAAAAUGCUUUUUUGUGUGUCCGGAGCCAUAUUUUGGAAGUGCUUUGGCCGAUAUCAUUGAAACUUGGUAUGAGUAUAUAUAUAUAUAUUAUAUAUAUAUGGAUAAGAGGAUGAUGCAUGUCAAAUGGCAUUGUACACCAUCUGUUAAUAAAGGAGUUAUUGCCCUUUUUAUCUUGGAAAAAAAUGCUUUUUUGAUUGUCAAAUAUAACACUUGUGUCCAGAAGCAUAUUGGCUGGGGGAUAUCUAUUCAACGAAUUUGCUCGUUAUAAACUCACAUUUCAAUGACAAUUUAUGAUAUCUGUUUUCCAGCUGUUUACUGUAUCAUAUGUAAAUCAUGAUUGUGUUGGUAUGCUUGUUUCUUUUUGUUUUUAAAUGCCCCAUGCUACAAAACAAAUUGAAUUGUUCAUGCUUAUAUACUUUUGCCUCAAGUAUUCUCAUAAGGUCAUUUGAAAUGAUGAAACAGUUGCUAUUUUACGAGAACAAUGAUCAGAAUAGAUCAUCUAUAAUUUUGUUGUGUAAAGAGGAUCGAUAAUUGGUUAAUUCUAACUUGUACUAAUACUCAUACCAAUAUUAAAACAUACAUUAUUCCAAAGGAUAAACCAUUCUAGAAUUUACAGAGAAAACUAUUCCUUAUAGAUUCAUCUAUAAUUUCUUUGCAUAUAGGUGGUCGUAUACAGAAAUAAUUAAACUAACAAUCAUGUUCAGGUUGCUAUUAUCAUAAAUAUAUAUAUAAACUGACAAUCAUGUUCAGAUUACUAUUAUCACAAAUACAUGCAUAUAUAUAACAAUUUUAAAAGCAAUUGAUAUAUAUGUCUCAAAAGCUAUGUCCUUUUUACGUCCCAGUCUAUACUUGGGGACAUAUUAUAUUUGCCCUGUCUGUUUGUUGGUUUGUUUGCGUCAAACUUUAACAUUGGCCACAACUUUUGCAAUAUUGAAGAUAGCAACUUGAUAUUUGGCAUGCAUGUGUAUCUCAUGGAGCUGCACAUUUUGAGUGGUGAUAGGUCAAGGUCAUCCUUCAAGGUCAAAGGUCAAAUAUAUGGGUGGGACCUAGUGUUUCACAAACAUAUCUUGUUUAGUAUAGACUUCAACAUAUCUUGGACAAUACAAUUUAAGAGCAAUUAAGAGGUUGAUGGUUCCACCCCUUUGCUUUUCUGUUGCUGAAAUGGUGUUAGUACAUACACCAAUCAAUUGUUGUUACACCGAUUUACCCUGUUAAUUUUUUUUGUGUGUGUGGUGUCGCUUUGCUUCAGCUUGUUUUUGUGAUACUGUAGAUGUUGUUGAGUACUGAAAGGUAAUUAGUAAGGUAUGUAAAACUUAGCUUAACACUUAUGGACAAUGUUUUUGCAUAGUUUAAAUUGUAUGUAUGUUGAGUCAUGUUAUUAAUUGCUUGCAAUAAUUUUAUAUUGUGAAUCAAUGUAUGAAAAAUAAACCUGAAUGAAAUGAAAAUCAUUUAAAUAAAA